GCCUGGGUGGCUCAGUCGGUUGAGCGUCCGACUUCGGCUCGGGUCAUGAUCUCACGGUUCGUGGGUUAGAGCCCCGUGUCGGGCU
rfam:Felis catus isolate Cinnamon breed Abyssinian chromosome D1, whole genome shotgun sequence.